rnacentral:lncRNA from 1 species
UUAUACUAUUGAUACCACUAUGUUGCGUUAUUAUGCGUUAGUGAAAAUCAGAAAAUUCGACAACAACUGUAUUUUGUUUCUAGCAAAUCGUUUAUUUCGUAUGAUGAAAGUAAUCCAAGAAUACAUCUUAUUGGGUUGGCAAUUAAGUGAUUGCGGAGUUUGUCAUUAGGUGGUAAUGUUAGGUUAGCUGCCAAUCCAGUACUAUUUUUUAAUUGACCAAAUAUUUCUCAAUUAAUCGCGCAAUCGUUCCAAUAAAUGGAGUUCUAUUGUACACUGAGUUGAAAGGGGAAAUACGAGCUUACAUAUUCGCGGCGGAUAAAAAUUUAUGUGCGUGCGAUUUAAUGUAUUUAUACAUUAUUUUAUAAUAUAUUGUUAUUCGUAUUUUAUAGCCAUAACGUGGCACGUUAUGGAUUCUAUCCACAUUCGGGAUAUUGAUUAAAUAGAAAAAGGAAUCACUCGCUUCCGGAAUUUCUCAUAGAGUGAUCGUGUCAAAACGAUUAUCUCCGUAAUAAUUCAUAUUGUGGUUACAAUCUGUUAAUUGGGAUCGACAAAGGAGCUGUUGAGAUAAAAACUGGCGUCGUGUCACAGUCGAUAUAGCAGUGUAAAGGGUUAAUAUUCUUUGAAUUCCGAGGAUCUUUAACAACAUAUUGUUCGCAGAUAUCUCAAAAUUUAUAUUAUUUAUUACUAUUAUUAAAUAUUAUUAUAUUACUUUUUAAUUGUAUCAUCCUUCUAAUAAACCGACCAUUUAACUAAAGAAUAUAAAUGAAGAGGAAAUCCGAUCUCGCCAUUUAUCUGUAUCACGUGCUGUUAUGAGAGCUUGCAAAUCUACUUACAUAGCAUCGCGAUAACCAAUGUCCUGAGUCACUAUAAACGGUGGGCUUUUGCAAAUGAGAUUUCGAUCGAAACUACUUGGCCAAUUAUAUAAAAUCGACUGUGUGCUAUCAAUGAUCUGAAUAAACAAUUACCUUACUUUGUAAAAAUAAAAAGCUUGGCUAAAUCAUUGGAAUAAGGCUAAUAGUAUAUGUACGUACUUAACGAGCGAAGUCUUGACAUGGUAAUGAAUUCCGUUUUUGCCUUUCUCUUUUUUGGUAAGAAGUGUUUGCUUUUUAGUUAAGGCCGAAAUCUGAAUUUCUUGGCAUGAUCCAUAGUGCCGAACGAUUGCGUGCAGUCAGCUUUAUUUAUGGCCUCGAGGUCAGUCGAUUUCGCGUAUUAAGAUUAACAUUUUUAUUGGCCUUGUUGCCUAGACUUUCUUGCUCCUCUCCAAUCGAUUUAUGAUGCUGCUUAUCGUCGCACGGUGAAAUGUAAGUUCCACUUAUCCGAUCGUUUUAAGAUUACUUUAAUUUAACCGCAAUCCUAGCUGAAUAAAAGUUCCAUUUGGUUCUUAAAUUUAAUCCUCGUAAAAUCACUUUUAUAUAUUUAAGGAUAAAUUAAUUGAUUACAAAUAUCUGUAUUUAACAUGUAUCUGUUAGGUCUUUAGACUUUCUUUGAUCUAAAUUACGUCACAUCUGAUUCUUUUAACACUUUACCGACCGAUUGCCGAUUAAUCGGUUUUUUGUCGCCGACGCUUACCGACCGAUAGCUUAUUAACCGGCUUUUUAUCGCCGACAAUCUUUCUCAUUAUUUGAGCAGUAAUUUGUUAUUUAGAACGAAGGUACUUUGCUCAGUUGCGUCAGUUGCAUUGCUUUGUAAGCUGCCACAGUUUCAUACCAAUUUGAAAAACGUACCGUUCGCGAUGAACAAAAAGAAUGGUAUUGGACAGUCUAAACCUAAACAGAGCUGGCGCCAGGCAGAAUCUGCGCCUGAGAUGCCGGUCGGACGUGCGUAUGCUGUUGAAUCGCUAGCAGUCGGUAAAGUGUUACAAGUUCGAUGUACAAAGUCUGAUUUAAAGAUAUAAUAAUUUCUAUAAGGAACAUUUUCAAUUUCUAAAAACCAAAAUGAUCGUUAUCAAAAUUAAUGGAGAUAUUUAAGGCAUGAAGAAGUCUCCGUUCUUUGAAGAACUUUAAUGGAAGGCAUUGCUAUGAAACUUAUAAGUUUCUAGAUGAUUUUUAAUUUGGAAGAAUAAAACGAAAUUAUAGGAGUUGUAAUCUGUUCGUCUUGCAAAUAAAAAUUCAUUAACAGAUAACGCAGUGUAGAAGGGCGUAUCGUUACAAUGAAUUAUUACAAGAUUUUGCUACUUAUCCGAUAUAAUCUCUCUGUAGUUAACCUCAACCAUUUAAAUGUAGGAAGCCAUUAAAAUAUAAUAACAUGGUAGUAGCCUUUGAAUCUUAUUAAUUUCCUUUUUCUUAUCACCAACGUAAACCAAACCCAUAAAUCCAAAGCAAUGUAAUUAUUUUUGAAAGAGAGGCACCUACUAUACACCGAGUUUAAUUUUACAAGACUCAACACGUUCGCCUUCCAUUCACCUUCUUUCCUUUCUUCCAAGUCCGACAUCAACCACCUCCACUUCCAUCCCUCAUACACACACACACACACACACACACGUUCGAUCUUCUCAAAGCAACACCUUUUCGCAACCCCAAACUCCGACAUGGUCGCAGCAUUGAACUCGAGGUUUUUUCAGCACUCGAGCCACGCUCGCGUCGUCGCGAUAUAUCGUCGGUGAAGUGCCGCGGAAAUGAAAAUCACCGUUGCGCGAGACACGUGGACAGGGUGGUCGUUGAUUGUCAGCGCGUUGCAACGCUGGCGCGAGCGAGCUAGCAAGAGAGAAACAGAAGGAGAGAGAGAGAAAGGACGAGUGACGAGGGAGCAAAGGGGAGUCAGUUACUUAGGCAGCCGGCCAGGGUUGUUGCGGGACUUGCGGGAUCCGGGGUUGCCAGGUUCGGCGGGUGGCAGCCCGGGUGGAAACACGCGAACGAUCCUCUGAUCCCCUCGCGAGAUAUCGG